AACAUCUAAGUACCCCGAGGAAAAGAAAUCAACCGAGAUUCCGAAAGUAGCGGCGAGCGAAAUUGGACUAGCCCUUAAGCUUUACACGCGUUAGACGAACGGUCUGGAAAGUCCGACGAUACAGGGUGAUAGUCCCGUAGUUGACGACGUGUGUUCAGUGAAAUCGAGUAGGGCGGGACACGUGAUAUCCUGUCUGAAUAUGGGGGGACCAUCCUCCAAGGCUAAAUACUACUGACUGACCGAUAGUGAACCAGUACCGUGAGGGAAAGGCGAAAAGAACCCCUGUGAGGGGAGUGAAAUAGAACCUGAAACCGUGUACGUACAAGCAGUAGGAGCAGGCUUUGUCCUGUGACUGCGUACCUUUUGUAUAAUGGGUCAGCGACUUAUAUUCAGUGGCAAGGUUAACCAUCUAGGGGAGCCGUAGGGAAACCGAGUCUUAACUGGGCGUUCAGUCUCUGGAUAUAGACCCGAAACCAGGUGAUCUAGCCAUGGGCAGGUUGAAGGUUGAGUAACAUCAACUGGAGGACCGAACCGACUAAUGUUGAAAAAUUAGCGGAUGACUUGUGGCUAGGGGUGAAAGGCCAAUCAAACCUGGAGAUAGCUGGUUCUCCCCGAAAGCUAUUUAGGUAGCGCCUCGGACGAAUACUACUGGGGGUAGAGCACUGUUAAGGCUAGGGGGUCAUCCCGACUUACCAACCCUUUGCAAACUCCGAAUACCAGUAAGUACUAUCCGGGAGACACACGGCGGGUGCUAACGUCCGUCGUGGAGAGGGAAACAACCCAGACCGCCAGCUAAGGUCCCAAAUUACUACUAAGUGGGAAACGAUGUGGGAAGGCUCAGACAGCCAGGAUGUUGGCUUAGAAGCAGCCAUCAUUUAAAGAAAGCGUAAUAGCUCACUGGUCGAGUCGGCCUGCGCGGAAGAUGUAACGGGGCUAAGUAGUAAACCGAAGCUGCGGCAAUGUGCUUUUGCACAUUGGGUAGGGGAGCGUUCUGUAAGCGGUUGAAGGUGUGUGGUAACGCAUGCUGGACGUAUCAGAAGUGCGAAUGCUGACAUGAGUAACGAUAAAGGGGGUGAAAAACCUCCUCGCCGGAAGACCAAGGGUUCCUGUCCAACGUUAAUCGGGGCAGGGUAAGUCGACCCCUAAGGCGAGGCCGAAAGGCGUAGUCGAUGGGAAACGGGUUAAUAUUCCCGUACUUCUUACAAUUGCGAUGGGGGGACGGAGAAGGCUAGGUGGGCCUGGCGACGGUUGUCCAGGUUCAAGUGCGUAGGCUUAAGA
rnacentral:rRNA from 1 species